rnacentral:rRNA from 1 species
AUGAAUGCUGGCGGCGUGGAUAAGGCAUGCAAGUCGAACGAAGCCUUUUGAAGAAGUUAGUGCGAUUACAUCAAGCUGGCUUUUUUUUAAAGCUUAGUGGCGAACGAGUUAGUAACAUCUUGGUACGUACUCCGAUGUUAGGCACAACGGGUCGAAAGAUCCGCUAAUUCCUAAUGGUCCCGCAAGGGUAAAGUCGCAAGACGCAUCGGAAGCGGCCUAGAUCCUAUCAGCUUGUUGGCGGGGUAAUGGCCCACCAAGGCUAUGACGGGUAGGGGGUGUGAGAGCACGACCCUCAACGACGAAACUGAGACACGGUUCGUACACCUACGGGUGGCAGCAGUCGAGAAUAUUCGACAAUGGGCGAAAGCCUGAUCGAGCGACGCCGCGUGCGGGAAGAAGGCCUUCGGGUCGUAAACCGCUUUUGCGUGGGACGAAUUUUGACGGUACCACGAGAAUAAGGGGUUGCUAACUCUGUG